AACGCUGGCGGCGUGCCUCAGACAUGCAAGUCGAACGCGAAAGCCCCCUUCGGGGGGCAAGUAGAGUGGCGCACGGGUGAGUAACACGUAGGUAAUCUACCUUUGGAUUGGGAAUAACAACCGGAAACGGUUGCUAAUACCGAAUAAUGCAGCGGCACCUAAUGGUGACAGUUGUUAAAGCGGGGGAUCGCAAGACCUCGCGUCUGAAGAGGAGCCUGCGGCGGAUUAGCUAGUUGGUAAGGUAACGGCUUACCAAGGCGAUGAUCCGUAGCCGGCCUGAGAGGGCGGUCGGCCACACUGACACUGACAUACGGGUCAGACUCCUACGGGAGGCAGCAGUCGGGAAUUUUGGGCAAUGGGCGAAAGCCUGACCCAGCAACGCCGCGUGAAGGAUGAAAUCCCUCGGGAUGUAAACUUCGCAAGAACGGGAAGAAUAAGCCGGUGCUAACAUCACCGGCGAUGACGGUACUGUUUGUAAGCUCCGGCUAACUCCGUGCCAGCAGCCGCGGUAAUACGGGGGGAGCAAGCGUUGUUCGGAUUUACUGGGCGUAAAGGGCGCGUAGGCGGCCACCGCAAGUCGACUGUGAAAUCUCCGGGCUUAACCCGGAAAGGUCAGCCGAUACUGCGGGGCUAGAGUGCAGAAGGGGCAACUGGAAUUCUCGGUGUAGCGGUGAAAUGCGUAGAUAUCGAGAGGAACACCUGCGGGCGAAGGCGGGUUGCUGGGCUGACACUGACGCUGAAGCGCGAAAGCUAGGGGAGCGAACGGGAUUAGAUACCCCGGUAGUCCUAGCCUUAAACGAUGAAUGCUUGGUGUCUGGGGUUUUAUAGUCCCCGGGUGCCGAAGCUAACGCAUUAAGCAUUCCGCCUGGGGAGUACGGUCGCAAGGCUGAAACUCAAAGGAAUUGACGGGGGCCCGCACAAGCGGUGGAGCAUGUGGUUCAAUUCGACGCAACGCGAAGAACCUUACCCAGGCUUGAACUGCGAGUGACAUCCUACGAAAGUAGGCUUCCGCAAGGACACUCGUAGAGGUGCUGCAUGGCUGUCGUCAGCUCGUGUCGUGAGAUGUUGGGUUAAGUCCCGCAACGAGCGCAACCCUUGUCUUCUGUUGCCAUCGGGUCAAGCCGGGCACUCUGAAGAGACUGCCGGUGACAAACCGGAGGAAGGUGGGGAUGACGUCAAGUCAGCAUGGCCUUUAUGUCUGGGGCCACACACGUGCUACAAUGGCCGGUACAAACCGUCGCGAGCCCGCGAGGGGGAGCUAAUCGGAGAAAGCCGGUCUCAGUUCGGAUUGUAGGCUGCAACUCGCCUGCAUGAAGUUGGAAUCGCUAGUAAUCGCGGAUCAGCACGCCGCGGUGAAUACGUUCCCGGGCCUUGUACACACCGCCCGUCACAUCACGAAAGCCGGCUGUACUAGAAGUCGCUGCGCUAACCCGCAAGGGAGGCAAGCGCCUAAGGUAUGGUCGGUGAUUGGGGUG
rnacentral:rRNA from 1 species